UAAUACGUAGGUGGCAAGCGUUGUCCGGAAUUAUUGGGCGUAAAGCGCGCGCAGGCGGUCCUUUAAGUCUGAUGUGAAAGCCCACGGCUCAACCGUGGAGGGUCAUUGGAAACUGGGGGACUUGAGUGCAGAAGAGGAAAGCGGAAUUCCACGUGUAGCGGUGAAAUGCGUAGAGAUGUGGAGGAACACCAGUGGCGAAGGCGGCUUUCUGGUCUGUAACUGACGCUGAGGCGCGAAAGCGUGGGGAGCAAACAGGAUUAGAUACCCUGGUAGUCCACGCCGUAAACGAUGAGUGCUAAGUGUUAGAGGGUUUCCGCCCUUUAGUGCUGCAGCUAACGCAUUAAGCACUCCGCCUGGGGAGUACGGCCGCAAGGCU
rnacentral:rRNA from 1 species